AGCUGAAGAUAGUUUCUGUUUGGAAUUUGGGGGACUCUUGAGAGGGUAUAAAAAGUCCAGAGCCCCAAGAGGCUGCAGAAGCUAUUGCUACCCCUUUUGCUGCUGGUUCCUGUUGCUGCAGUUUGCCAAGGAAGGGGUCCUGAGCAAAGAGGUGCUAUCAGGUUUGAUUCAGAGAUGAGUGUCCCGUGUCAACAUUUGUGUUUUCAUGGUCCGUCCUCCCAGGGUAACCAUGCCCUUCCUUAAAAAGAAGAAAAACACACCAAGUCCACUUUGCAUUGCUCAUGUACUCAAUGGAGCAUCGACAGCUCCCAGUGCCCAGCCCCUUAAAGAGAACUAAGUCAUUCCCGAGUCCCACUCCCCCAGACACUUCCCCCGCCAGAAACCAUCAAUGAUAAAGAGCAACAAUUCACCAGCUUUAUCACAAACUAAAGAACUCUCUUCAGUGGCUUCCUGUCCAGACUGUUUCUUUUUCUUUUUCAUUGGAUGGGGAAUGAGGAAGGGAGGAGGGCAGAGAGGUUGUCACAGAAGCCUUCAAUAUCUCUUGUUCUCCGUUGUUAGUCUUCUGUCAUCAAUACCACUGUAAAAGAAGCUUCCUUAUUCAUGACAGCUGGUGACAGCACAGACCACGGACACCUGCAUGGCCUCCUGGUCGUAGCAUGGCCCAUGGAGGUCUUUCGAGGAGACUUAGUUCUGAAAAUGAACUGUUUUUCAUCUUGGCUAUCUUGUGGUUGCUCAGAGCCGGGGUGAUCACGCAGCUGGGCAGACCCUGCAGGAGCUCUAGGCUGCUGCACAUCAUCCUGCAGUGAGUGACAUGCCCCUUUGUCCACAGAAGUCUUGUCUUCCAUACCUGUCAUUGCCACCUCUCUAUCGCACAUGCAUCAAAGUCGUAAUACAUGCUGCUGUGUGUCAUACAGUGUGUAUAUGUACACACACACACACACACACACACAAACUGCCCAAACAGCUUUACAUGAAAACACUUGGUGCAACAACUCAUUGGUCUGGUUCAAGUUCCCUGGUUUCUUUAGCACCAUAGAUACUGGACUACAUCUGAGACUCAUCUCAGAUAUCUAGUUGUUGUCCAGAGUCAGGAUGAUCUUGCCACUGGGCAGCAUGUCCCUGGGUAGGAUCUUAGCUAGCUCCAGGCUGACGGACACCUUUUGUCAUGGGUAAUGGUCACCCUGCCAGCUCAUUUGGCAGGACCAUUGUGCUUGGAGCCCGUAGGCAGUGCCCCACAUUCUCCUCCCUCCAGUGGGACAAAUAUUGAGAGCUGCAGCAAUAGUGGCUCCAUUCUGCUCGAUGACUCAUUGCCCAAGCCUCCUGGCAGGCAGUGGACUAGCCCUACUCAGCAAUGACAUGUUCCUUUGUCCUCUGAG